rnacentral:rRNA from 1 species
GAUGAACGCUGGCGGCGUGCCUAAUACAUGCAAGUCGAGCGAUGGGACGAGAAGCUUGCCUCUCUGAUGUUAGCGGCGGACGGGUGUGUAGCACGUGGAUAACCUACCUAUAAGACUGGGAUCACUUCGAGAAACCAGCUCUUAUCGCAUGAAAUCUGUUAAACCGCAUUAAUCAAAAGUGAGAGACGGUCUUGCUGUUACUUGUAGAUGGAUCCGCGCUGCAUUAGCUAGUUGGGAAGGUAACGGCUUACCAAGGCAACGAUGCAUAGCCGACCUGAGAGGGUGAUCGGCCACCCUGGAACUGAGACACGGUCCAGACUCCUACGGGAGGAACCAGUAGGGAAUCUUCCGCAAUGGGGGAAAGCCUGACGGAGCACCGCCGCGUGAGUGAUGAAGGUCUUCGGAUCGAAAAACUCUGUUAUUAGGGAAGACCAUAUGUGUAAGUGACUGUGCACAUCUUGACGGUACCUAAUCAGAAAGCCACGGCUAACUACGUG